GGAAAGGGGAAACUUGGCUAGAUAGAACAUAAAUGAAAUAGACAGAUAGAUUUAAUAAGGGAAAGGGGAAAGAAGGGGAAACUGAGAUAGAUAUAACAUAGAUGGAUAAAAUAGACAGAUAGAUUUAAUAAGGGAGAGGGGAAAGAAGGGGAAACUGAGAUAAAUAGAACAUAGACAGAUAUAAUAGACAGAUAGAUGGAAGGAGGGGAAACUGAGAUAGAUAAAACAUAGAUAGAUUGAAUAAGGGAAAGGGGAAAGGAGAAACUUGGAUAGAUGGAGCACUGAUAGAUAUAAAAGAUAGACAUAAUACAUAAUGGAGAAGGGAAAGGAAGGGCAAGGGAGGAGACUAAGGGGAGGUCCUAGGCAUGCGCAGGCUGCCCACCACGCCGCAGCCUCUCUCCACAUUUCCAUCGGGCAGCGUCAGUCAAACAUGAGAACCCGACGCGGAGGAAACAGAGGCUCGGCGGGUCGUCUAGGGGUCGUCGUCCUCCCUAUCCUCGUUCUCGUGGGGGUCGUUCUGGCUGGGUCGUCCCCUCCGCAACACCCCACGACCCCUAUUUACGAUGUAGCCCUUGACCUCAACGACACACACCAUCUCUACUGGAGGUUGGACUACGGAAAGAAGGAGGUCGAGUUUGAGGUUCACACGAGAGGUAGAGGACGAAGACCCUGGCUCGCUGUGGGAUUCUCCGACAGGGGUUUGCUGGAAGGGGCCGACCUCUGUGUGUUAUGGACCGACUGGCAUGGCAGGGUCCACUUUCAGAACGCCUUCGUGGGCCAAAAUCUUCGACUCAUCCUGGCGGAGUCGCAAGCGUGUGACGACUUCAGGUACAAGGUGCGCGAGGACGUCAUCAAAUUCACCUUCUCCAGAAAAUUUGACACCUGCCGACCCCACCAUUACGUCAUCCAGCGCGGCACGACCCAUGUGGUGUGGUCAUGGGGCACGGGUCCUCUCUACCGCCUCUCCGGGGUCCUGGCGGCGGGGGACCAGACGGGGCUUGUCCGGGUGGAGCUGCUCAAGCCCUCGCUGCCCCUGGCCCCCGAGGAUGACGAGGCGCAGGUCCUGGAGGUGCGGUCGCAGAAGGUGAAGGUCCCUGCGGAGGAGACGGUCUACUGGUGCACCGUGGAGAGGCUGCCGGACGUCUUUGCUGAGAAACGACACGUGCUGCAGUUUGGGCCGGCGAUUGAGGCGGGCAACGAGGACCUGGUGCACCACAUGGAGCUCUUCCACUGCGAGUACCCGCCUGACGUCACUGUGCCCAAGUACCAGGGUCUGUGUGCCUCCCCAGACCGUGACCCUAAGAUUGACGCCUGCAAGAGGGUGCUGGCGGCCUGGGCGAUGGGUGCGUCAGCCUUCGUAUACCCCCAGGAGGCCGGGCUGCCUGUCGGGGGGCCGGACUUCAACCCAUACGUCAUGCUGGAGGUCCACUACAACAACCCUCGGAAGCUGUCAGGUCGCGUGGACAGCUCGGGCCUGGCGCUCCACCACACACGUCGGCUGAGGCAACACGACGCAGCCAUCAUGGAGCUGGGCCUCGAGUACAUAGACAAGAUGGCCAUCCCUCCUCACAUACAGGCCUUCACGCUCUCCGGCUACUGUGUGCCCGAGUGUACUGCCCUGGGCCUGCCAGCGGACGGCAUCCACAUCUUCGGGUCACAGCUCCACACCCACCUGACGGGCGUGAGGGCGUGGACCAAGCACCUUCGAGAGGGCACGGAGCUGGCGGACCUCAACCGAGACAACCACUACUCCACGCACUUCCAGGAGAUACGAAGACUUCCGCGCCCGGUCCACGUGAUGCCGGGUGACGCACUGAUCAUGAGCUGCGAGUACUCGACGUCGGAGCGGGAGAAGGUGACGGUGGGCGGGUUUGCCAUCAGCGACGAGAUGUGCGUCAACUAUGUCCACUACUACCCCAAGACGGAUCUGGAGGUGUGCAAGUCCUCGGUCGACUCCGCCACCCUCGUCAACUACUUCGGGUUCAUGAAAAGGUGGGAGCUGCAGAACACAUCCCAGGAGGCCACUUGGAGGGAGAACUACGAGGCUAUCAAGUGGACGCCUCUUCGGUCCGGGAUGCUGGCGGACCUGUACCUCAACUCACCUGUCUCCAUGCAGUGCAACAAGUCAUCAGGUGUGCGUUUCCCCGGGUACUGGGAGAACAUACCCAUCCCUCGCAUCCUCCACCCCCUGCCGCCGCCCCAGAGCCCCUGCAGCCCCGCCAAGGAGGUGCAGGAGGGUGACGGGGCUUUGGUGAACUAGUCUAUGCUCGCUUACACCUCCUCACACCCUCGCCUCAUGUGGUUAUGUUGGUUCACUUGGGUUUGUCUUGUAGUGGAAAUGGGUUGUUUUUAUUCUUCAUUGGCCUAGUAUUUUUUUUUUUUUCCACUCCUGUAUUGUUUUUUAUGGUAGUGUUUUAUUGUUUUUGUGGGGACGUGUUUCUUUCUCUGUUCUCAUUUGUAGUUGAAAUAUACCCUUCUUAUGAGCCUUUCUUGUUUAUAUGUGAUAGAAAUGGGUUGUUAUUUUCUUCAUUGGCCUAGUUUUUCUUUUUCACUCAUGUAUUAUUUUUUGUUAGUGGUGUUUUAUUGUUUUUGUGGGGAUGUAUUUCUUUCUCUGUUCUCGUUUGUAGUCGGAAACAACCCUUCUUAUCACCCUUUCUUAUGUAUGGUAGGAAUGUGUUGGUAUUCUCCUUCCUUUCUCAUUCAUGUAAUUUAUUUUGGUAGAAGUGUUUCCUCAUUAUUGUGGUGACAUUUUACUACUUCUGUUCUCGUUUGUAGUCAGAAACAACCCUUCUUAUCACCCUUUCUUACUUACGAUAGAAAUGUGUUGUUUAAUUUUUCCUUCUCACUCAUGUAAUUCAUUUUGUUGCAGUGUUUCCUCAUUCCUCUAGUGAUGUAUUUUUUCUUGUCCUCCAAUUUGUAGCUGGAAACACCCUUCUUGUCACACCCUUCCUUGUUUAUGAUAGAAAUGUACGACCCGUCUCUUCACGUGGUGCUGGGGAAGAGGCGCCGACAUCACGUAGAUACACUUCUCUGGAGUCUGGGCGGAGGGAGAGUCACGGUGGAGGUCACUUGGUGUAUAAAACUUUGGUUGGAGAUAGCCAUGUAGUUUUUAAUUUUUUUGGUUGUUGUGGAGAUACUAAUAUAUGAAUGUAAAAAAGUAUUAUAACAAAUAAAUCCUACAACCACCAAGUUAUCUAUGGAAGCAAGUGAGUAGAGGUGAGUGUCUCCUGCUGUCCUGCCCUGGGUUGGGUGUAGAGGUGAG